UUAUUUUCGUAGCUUUACCGC
rnacentral:piRNA from 1 species